UCUGGGCAGCCUGCCCCGCCCGCAUGGCCGACCAAUCGGAAGCCUGAUAGGAGCCGGAGCUCACCGCGGGCGGGGAGAGUGUGAGAACCCGGCGGAUGCACCGCCCCUCAACCGCUGGUAGCUCUUGCCUACUAGGAAGUACGUGGGCUACAAGCUAGGAGUGACAACUUACUAAAUUCCUUUUGUUCCUGCUCGGAGUUUCCUAUUAAAGGAUGGCCGAACACAUCUGAAAUUAGGACUGCAAAGAUUAAACCACCUUCAUGUUAACUUCUACAACAAAGGGGACCAGACCAACUUGCACGCCACCUGCACCUCUCAAGCUGGGCUGUGCUUCAGAGGGUCAGGUUCCCCAGACUCACUGAGAGGCUCUACGUUGGUGCUGGGCUCCAGUCGGGAGGCAUCCUUGGGGAAACUACAGUCCCAGCCAUCAACUUCUACCUGCUCCCCUUCACCUGUGACAGUAAGAAGAGAGGGUCAGGCUGGAAGUAGGAAAAUUGGGGAAGAACUGGUAGAAAAUGGGGUGACAGCUGAGAAGAGGCUGAAGUAGCAGUACCUGAUCUCUGGGUGAGCUCGGCCACAGGAGGAAGCACUGGAGGGUCUCUGGUCUGAAGGAAGUAGAUCACUAGCAACGUCAAGGCGUAGUUAUUGAGAAGGGGGCCGCCCCCUGAAUAAUAACCAAGAAUUCCAGUUAGGAAGAAGUAGCUAUAAGCCCUGGUUCCUGUGUUCACUUUCCCCCCUAAAUCCCUCCCUUUACCUAACACCAGCUCAGGCCAAGUCUGUCCUGAUUCUUACCUGACAGCCCAUUAUGUUGAGCCCAGCAGCGUAGGGUGUACACCAGGGGCCGGACUCGGCCAUCCAUCUCAGAGCAGAGAUUCAGGAAACGGGAGUUAUACAAAGCCAGCCUGGGACAAUGGAGAAACAAAGUUGUUAUGGUGUAGGAAUUCUUGAGACCUAAUAUCCCCCUGUCUUUCAUUAUAGACUUAGGACCAGCUAAAAUAAGAUCCAAAGAGUUUUGCCAAAACACUGGUCAUAUUGAAGGGGUACACAAAAGAACAUUAAAUAAAUCUAGGGAAUGUGGUUAAAUGGUGGGAUAUUUGCCUAGAGCCUGAGCCAUGGGGUGGGGGAAGUAUGUAUCAGUGGAACCUUAGACAACACUACAUUCCAUAUGCUCAUCCUGUAGUUACCAUUCAUAAACCAUGCUGUUUAUAUAGAACUGCUCAAUAGCUAGGUGUGGUAAGCAUAUACCUAUAAUCCCAGCACUCAGGAGGUUGAAUAAGGAAUAUGGAAACCUUGUCUCAAAAGAUACAGGACCAGUGAGACGGGAAGAGUCUGCCACCAAGACUGACACCUCAGUUCAGUCCCUAGCACUCACGUGUUACAAGGAGAGCGCUGACUCCCACAAGUUGUUCUGACUACAGAGAUGAGAUAUCACAAACAAACAUGUCAUUUAAAACUUUUUUUGAAACCGGGCAGUGGUGGUGCAUACCUUUAAUCCCAGCAUUCAGGAGGCAGAGGCCAACUGAUCUCUGUGAGUUUGAGACCAGCCUGGUCUACAGAGCAAGUGCCAGGACAGCCUCCAAAGCUACAAAGAAACCCUGUCUUGAAGAAAAAAAGAAAAACAAAAAACAAAAAGCAGCAAUGCAAAGCCGGGCAUAAUAGCACAUUCCUGUAAUCCCAGGAUUCAGGAGGCUAAGGCAGGAGAAUCAAGGGCUAGAGGCCAGUACAGACCACACAGCAAGACCCUGACUCAGGAGUACAGAGUAUCCCAACAAAAACAAACACUAAAAUGGAAGCUAGGUAGGAGGUGACAUCACUGGGAGAAAGGAGGAUUGAACCAAAGAAGAAAAAGCUCAAUUCCGUGGGCAUAAGACUUCCAAGUCAGGACUCCCUCCUCCUACAUCCCAGAACUUAAGAGCCAGCCUUCCUCAACCCCAGCAUGAAAGUACCGGUUACUGAGGGAGAUGUCCCCAUGAAGACCUGAAGGCCGAUGACAAAACUUGACGACCGGGCGCCGGGCGGAAGGCACAGUUUGGACUCUGUACACUCCAGGGACACAGCCCCGCAGGAUAGAGCCCACGAGCUCUAGCACUGCCGCCGCCUCCUCCUUCUCGUCCUUUGAAGCUUUGCCCAGUUUCCCCUCUCCCCUGUCCUCUUGCAGCGGUGAAACCGGAGGCAGGGACUGGGGAGAAGUGACAGUGUCAGAGCCCAAAGCGGAAUCUGGGGUCUGUGGUGCCAGAGAAGACGUGGUUUCAAGAUCCAGGGCCUCAGAAUCGUGGAGAGAAGUUGGAGACGAUCCAAGAAGAGGUCCAGAUCACAGCCAUGAACAUCAAAGCUGUUUAUAGAAGAGCCAAAAGGAUGGACCACACAGCCUAGGUACCAGAGGAUACAGGUCAAAAGACAGUAGGGGGCCAGCAAGAUGGCUCAGAAGGUAAAGGCACUUGCCACCAAGUCUGCUGACCUGAGUUCAAUCCCCAGGACCCAUGUGGUGGAGGAAGAGAACCGACUCCUGAAAGUUACUCUUUGACCUCCACAAGUACGUGUGUCACUUGUGCAUACACAUAAUAAAGAGGGGAGAAAACGAUGGAGCAGAAGGAUGGAGAGUGAACAUACUGGGGUACAAAGAUGGAUGAAACAGCCAAGAGAAGACUGAGGGUUCCAACACGGGCAGGCAGAGCAACAAGAGUUAGGGAGAGCUCGCUCACCAGGGAAGAACUCUGUGAAGACCUCCUGCAUCAGGGCCACGACAAGUUUCCGAAGCUGCCGCUCGGCCUCAGACAGCUCCCUCAGCUCUACCAGCUUUGCCAUCUGUGCCUCCACGCCUGUGGCUUUGGCCAGGGCUUGGGCCAGCUGGUGGUUAUUUGAGUCCACUCCUUUGGGAGACUUGGAGGCUGGGCUCUGGAACGCCUUCUGCUCCCUGGGCCGGACCCGCAGUCCAUGUUCCCCCAGCCUGUGCUUGGGCUGUGAUAAGACAGCCUCCCGAGCACUUAUAUCGCCCAUCUCCACGAUGGCAAACACCCCCUGGCAAACCAUACAAGAGCAAGGAUCAUGGUUUGGUAAUCAACAGUUUUAAGUUUUGACAAUAGAAGAGAAUCUCUGAAAUGGGAAACAACCAAUACACUGGAAGUAUUUACUUGCUGUUUUUGUAAAAGGGAAUAUAUUUAGUUAGAUGAGUAAUUUUCACUCUUAUCCUAUACAUUUUUAUUCCUGGCUGUCAGUUAAAAACUCAUCUGCUGUCUCCUAUAUUUCACAGUGACUUGAUUUCACAGGUCAAAAUGGUCAAAAUAAGACCCACCUACCCAUA